UUAACUACCGGGCUAGAGUGUGUCAGAGGGAGGUGGAAUUCCGCGUGUAGCAGUGAAAUGCGUAGAUAUGCGGAGGAACACCGAUGGCGAAGGCAGCCUCCUGGGAUAACACUGACGCUCAUGCACGAAAGCGUGGGGAGCAAACAGGAUUAGAUACCCUGGUAGUCCACGCCCUAAACGAUGUCAACUAGCUGUUGGGGUCUUCGGACCUUGGUAGCGCAGCUAACGCG
rnacentral:rRNA from 1 species